rnacentral:hammerhead_ribozyme from 1 species
AUCCAGCUGACUAGUCCUAAAUAGGGCGAAGCUCCAGUCCUGGGU